CGCGGGGUAGAGCAGUCUGGUAGCUCGUCGGGCUCAUAACCCGAAGGUCGGGAGUUCAAAUCU
rnacentral:tRNA from 1 species